rnacentral:rRNA from 1 species
AGCGUACACGGUGGAUGCCCUGGCAGUCAGAGGCGAUGAAGGACGUGCUAAUCUGCGAUAAGCGCCGGUAAGGUGAUAUGAACCGUUAUAACCGGCGAUUUCCGAAUGGGGAAACCCAGUGCAAUCCGUUGCACUAUCGUUAAGCCAAUACAUAACUUAACGAAGCGAACCGGGGGAACUGAAACAUCUAAGUACCCCGAGGAAAAGAAAUCAACCGAGAUUCCCCCAGUAGCGGCGAGCGAACGGGGAACAGCCCAGAACCAGCAUCAGUUUGUGUGUCAGUGGAAGCGUCUGGAAAGGCGCAGGGUACAGGGUGAUACUCCCGUACACAAAGGCACACCUUCUGUGAGUUCGACGAGUAGGGCGGGACACGUGGUAUCCUGUCUGAAUAUGGGGGGACCAUCCUCCAAGGCUAAAUACUCCUGACUGACCGAUAGUGAACCAGUACCGUGAGGGAAAGGCGAAAAGAACCCCGGCGAGGGGAGUGAAACAGAACCUGAAACCGUGUACGUACAAGCAGUGGGAGCCUCUUUUAUGGGGUGACUGCGUACCUUUUGUAUAAUGGGUCAGCGACUUAUAUUCUGUAGCAAGGUUAACCGUAUAGGGGAGCCGCAGGGAAACCGAGUCUUAACUGGGCGUUAAGUUGCAGGGUAUAGACCCGAAACCCGGUGAUCUAGCCAUGGGCAGGUUGAAGGUUGGGUAACACUAACUGGAGGACCGAACCGACUAAUGUUGAAAAAUUAGCGGAUGACCUGUGGC